rnacentral:rRNA from 1 species
AGAUGGCAACGGUAGGUCAGUAUGCCCCGAAUAUCCCGGGCUACACGCGAGCUACAAUGGUUGGUACAAUGGGUAUCUACCCGAAAGGGACGGGAAUCUCCUAAAACCAAUCUUAGUUCGGAUUGAGGGCUGCAACUCGCCCUCAUGAAGCUGGAAUCCGUAGUAAUCGCGUUUCAACAGAACGCGGUGAAUACGUCCCUGCCUCCUU